UUUCUUCAGUGUUUACUCUGGGGACCUGGUCAAGCUCCUGGAGGAAACCCUUAACAAUAUUAUCCAAGAAGAAUCGUUGAUUUUUCAGUCUGUUCAGCUUUUUGCUUGUUAGGACAGAGUGUCUAAUAAAGGAUCUACAACCCUGUGAUGAGACAACUGUGUUCUCAUAGAGAAUGGAAGAGAUAGAAAGCCUGUGCCUCCAAGUAUAAUAGAAGUGCCUCCUGGCUUUGCGGUAUCUCCAGUCAAUGAAACCACAAGCAGAAGAAACUGAAACUUAAAGUUGUGAAAGCAGUUACCUGUGUUUAGAAAAAUAUCUCCAAGCAAGCCAUGAAGCCCAAUGUACCUGCCGAU